UACAAUGUGCAGUACUCAUACCCAAGUUGUUAUGGAGAGAGAGAAAUGGGGUUUAACGUCCACUCGACACAAACUAUGUCGUUUCGGGACUAACAUAUGGUUUAAUUUUUUUAUUUCAAUAAUUCGCUUCCGAGUAGGGGUCUUUAGCAGUGGGAGGAAACUAGUUACUAUACUUGUAACGUUAAACUGUGUGUUUAACGUUUCAAUUGAUACAGUCUAAGAAUCCUUACGCAAGUUCAAAUAGGUUCAAACGCACAAUUGUCAACACAUAUCAUUACAGUUUGUAUUGGAAUAAGUAAUUCUAUGACAAAUAUUGAAGACUGGACCACUAAAAUAGUUACCGAACAGUUUUUCUUUAUGGUUGGCGUUCUACAUUUGCAUAGCGAUGUUUCUUGUAAUGACAUAUUACACAAGCCGCCAUGACACCAGCCGGUUGAAAUUUCGCGUAGCAGUUGGGUUUCAUCAAAUCAUAUAAUUAUGCGAUAGAUCAGUAAUUGAUGUACUUGUUACAAGUGAAAACUUUCUUGUAUGGAUUUGUGUAUAUUGUUCGAAUAUAAAAGUGACAGCCAAACAUAUGCUGACAGUGACAUUGAUUUUAAUAGUGAUGAUGAUAUUGUUGAAAUUAUGUGAGUAGGCCUACACCUGUAUACAUGUAUUUUUUGUAUAUGGGCACAAGACCUGAUCAGUGUGUAAAUACAUGUAUUCUGUGAAUAUAAGAACCUGAACAGCACAUUAGAAACCGUUCUCCAGUAUUAAUACACUUUAAAAAAUGAUGAUGUUAUUAUUAUUAUUAUUAUAUACAUUUUUCAUUAAUACUAGUGGUGUAUGGUAUUGUUGUGAACGAGGAAAUUUAUAUAAUUGCAUUUGUUUAUUUUUUUUUAAUUUCUUUCUUUAAAUAAAUGUAAUCUUAUACUCUCUUAUAGGGGGUUGGGUAGCCGAAUGGGUAGCAUAUGCGCGCUGUAUCAUAAGGUCUGUCAUUGAGUCCACUGGCGUAGUUUAGAUUCCACGGUUGUACGUGACAAGGAGAAGGGUCCUCCAGUUUCCUCCCACUGCUAAAGACCACUACACGCAAGCGAAUUAUUGGAAUAAAAUUGAACCAAAAUGACCUAGUUUGUGUCGAGUGGAAGUUAAACCCCAUUUCUCUCUCUCUAUACUCUUAUAAUAAGUCUAUUGUUUUCUCGUUUUAAAAAAAUAGUAAAAUUGAUGAAGGUGAAUUAUUAUUAAUUGUAUCGAUAAGAUUACAUGGUAUUUUUAUUUUUGUUUUUUCUUAACAUUAUAUAUAAUUAAUAGACCAAACCAGUAUUUCAAGC